UACGGAGGGGGCGAGCGUUAUUCGGAAUUAUUGGGCGUAAAGGGCGCGUAGGCGGCCUUGUAAGUCAAAGGUGAAAUCCCUCGGCUCAACUGAGGAACUGCCUUUGAAACUGCAAGGCUUGAGGCCGGGAGGGGGUAGCGGAAUUCCCAAUGUAGCGGUGAAAUGCGUAGAUAUUGGGAGGAACACCAGUGGCGAAGGCGGCUACCUGGACCGGUUCUGACGCUGAGGCGCGAAAGCGUGGGUAGCAAACGGG
rnacentral:rRNA from 1 species